ensembl:rRNA 5S_rRNA 5S ribosomal RNA
AUCUAAAGCCAUACCACCCUGAACGUGCGCCAUCAUCUCCUCUGAUCUCAGAAGCUAAGCAGGGUCAGGUUGGUUAGUACUUGGAUGGGAGACUGUGCAUAAGACAUUGGCCUCGGCCG